AUUCUCGUCACGUUAUUUACGUCGCGUGAUUCACGUGACGUUAUGCACAUCACGUUCUGUUAGGCACUGUCACGUUCUGUUAGGCACUAUACGGAAAAGAAGAAGAAGAAUUGGCAAUUAAUAUUGAACGUUGACAGAAGAAGAAUUGACAGUUGCCAUCUGUGUCGCCACCGCUUUCAUUUGAUAUCCCAUACGUCAAAAUCGGAUCAUUAGCCAAGAAGAUAUGUUGUAAUGCCGUUUUGGCAAUGUCAAUUAGUUACGUGUUGCAGCCGACAGGUGGCAUGAUAAGAUGAAGAACUGUGAUAGGAUGUUUGAUGGUCGUACUGUAAGAAUGGUAUACGUUCUUCUAGAGGGCUUGGGCAUAGUUACAUGUUGCAGCCGACAGGUGGCAUGAUAAGAUGAAGAAUUGACCACAGCGUAAGAAUGGUAUAUGUUCUUAUAGAGGGUUUGGACAUAGUUACAUGUUGCAGCCGACAGGUGGCAGGAUAAGAUGAAGAACUGUGAUAGGAUGUUUGAUGGUUUGGUCAUACUGUAAGACUGGUAUACGUUCUUCUAGAUGGUUUGGGCAUAGUUACAUGUUGCAGCCGACAGGUGGCAUGAUAAGAUGAAGAACUGUGAUAGGACUAAUAUAUCACCGUUUUGGCAGUGUUGCCAUGUUUCUCCUUCCCUUCGAUGUCUGUUGCGCUAAAAUUAAUAGCAACGAAGAUAUAGUGUCGUUUUGGCAUUGCUGACAUCUUUGUUUUUAUGUUAACAUAUUCAAUAUCCCCUCUUUUUCCCAACGAGACCAUAUUCACACGAAUUGGACCAAUAGACACGAAGAUAUGAUAUAGUGCCGUUUUGUCAUUGCUGACAUCUUUGUUUAUAUGGUAACAUGCCUUCCUCUUUCCAACAAUAUAUGAUCAGUCAGGUCGGAGACAUGCUCUAAUGCUCUUUUGCUAAUGUCUUUGUGAUUGCUCCUCUUUCGUUUAAUGUCUUACAUGUAAUAAACGAACCAAUAACAACGCAGAUGGCAGAUAGGUGCUUCAUGGAUAAGUGUCUUAUUUGGCUUUCUGACUACACCCUGUAUAUUUUGCGAUAAACGAAAUAAAGAGGAGGCCAUCUUGGAAGGCGAGGGUUUGUGACGUAGGUGGGCCUGGCUGUGUUCCCAUUGGUCGUUGGGCGGGACUAAGUUCUCAUUGGUCGGUGAUUGGGGCUAAGUUCUCAUUGGUCGCUGGACUUUGAUCUCAUUGGUCCAUGGGCGAUGCUGUGGGUGGGCGAGGCUUCCUUCUCAUUGGUCGGUGGGCAAUCAUUGGCCGGUGGGCAACCAUUGGUCUGUGGGCGUGGCUUUGUGGUGGGCGUGGCUUUGUGGUGGGCGUGGCUUUGUGGUGGGCGUGGCUUGCGGUGGGCGUGGCUUUGUGGUGGGCGUGGCUUUGUGGUGGGCGUGGCGUGGGGCGUGGCAGAUAAAAUUUUUCCCACGCUGUCAAAAUUUUCCCAUGCCCAACCGACCCACACUCUGCUUGAGAGACAAA